GAUGAACGCUGGCGGCGUGCCUAAUACAUGCAAGUCGAGCGAACAGACGAGGAGCUUGCUCCUCUGACGUUAGCGGCGGACGGGUGAGUAACACGUGGAUAACCUACCUAUAAGACUGGGAUAACUUCGGGAAACCGGAGCUAAUACCGGAUAAUAUAUUGAACCGCAUGGUUCAAUAGUGAAAGACGGUUUUGCUGUCACUUAUAGAUGGAUCCGCGCCGCAUUAGCUAGUUGGUAAGGUAACGGCUUACCAAGGCAACGAUGCGUAGCCGACCUGAGAGGGUGAUCGGCCACACUGGAACUGAUACACGGUCCAGACUCCUACGGGAGGCAGCAGUGGGGAAUCUUCCGCAAAGGGCGAAAGCUUGACGGAGCAACGCCGCGUGAGUGAUGAAGGUCUUCGGAUCGUAAAACUCUGUUAUUAGGGAAGAACAAAUGUGUAAGUAACUAUGCACGUCUUGACGGUACCUAAUCAGAAAGCCACGGCUAACUACGUG
rnacentral:rRNA from 1 species